rnacentral:rRNA from 1 species
GCGCAGCAGUCGAGAAACCUCCGCAAUACACGAAAGUGUGACGGGGCCAUCCCGAGUGCCGUCCGCUGAGGACGGCUUUUCCCCAGUGUACACAGCUGGGGGAAUAAGGAGAGGGCAAGCCUGGUGUCAGCCGCCGCGGUAAUACCAGCUCUCCGAGUGGUGGGGACGCUUAUUGGGCCUAAAGCAUCCGUAGCCGGCUGGGCAAGUCCUCCGUUAAAUCCAACGAUUCAAUCGUUGGGCUGCGGGGGAUACUGUCCAGCUUGGGGGCAGGAGAGGCCGACGGUAUUCCCGGGGUAGGGGUGAAAUCCUAUAGUCCCGGGAGGACCACCAGUGGCGAAGGCUGUCGGCUAGAACGCGCCCGACGGUGAGGGAUGAAAGCUGGGGGAGCGAACCGGAUUAGAUA